GCUGGGAUCCGGCCGCUGACAUUACAGGAACCUUUCUGUAGAGCCGGAGCACCUAAUACUUCCUGCUCCGUACACAGUGUAGCGGGUGGUGCGCAAGCUGCGCGUUGCCAUAGCAACAUGACGUUAGGAGCGGAAAUGGAAGGGAACGCGAUGGCCGCGGACGGGAAUCAGGUGGACAGCGGAGGUGAUCAGCGGGAACCCUCACAGGGUGGUAUUGUAGCGGCAACGGGCGUCUGGGUUUCCAUGACGACUCAGAGCCGAAUCACCAAUGACACGACUGGAAGGCACCGGAAUUCGGGUCAGGGGAGCUGGAUGCCGAGCGGCGUUGAGCACUGGCGGGCUUCUGCAGGUAUUUAGAACAUAUCCAGGAGGACAGAUGCAGCGGUACGAGCCAUCCAGAUUUUGACACGUUCCAGGAGCACACAAUCCAGGAUCAAGGGCGC